GUUCUCUGGGAAUCGACCAGAGCCAAGGAGGGCCAAGAGGAAACCCUAACUUCACAAAUUCUCAGAAAUCAGAAGGAAAUUAAGAGUUCUAAUGGAUGCAUGAACCCUAAAUCGAGUAAUCUAAGCUUGUUCAACCUUUGGUGUUAAGGAAGAGAGUUCAAGUCAAGCGAAGCAACAAGGGAAUCAAGACCGAGGUAAAUCUCAAGUUUAGAUAUCAAGCUUCGCCCGGCUCGAACACACUUCAAGCUCGUCAUGCGUUCCGCAACUUUUGUAAAGAAGACAAUGUUAAUAUGUUUUGUCACUUUAGUUAUGUCUUGUAGUUAAAAACUUAAGUUUUAUCUUGUUUGCCUUUUUAAAACUUAGUCGGUUGUAAGUGUCUUAGCAUGAUGGUUUCGUAUGUGAAAUCAAGGUCCAUUUUGAUGUAGUACAUUAAGUCUUUUGAAACGUAGCGUAUGUUAAAUGAUAUUUUGAAUAUGAUAAACAGGGGACCUC